rnacentral:lncRNA from 1 species
UCCAUGCCUUCCCCAGCCCCAGUGACUCAGGUCCUGGGUACUAUCUCCCAGGUCUUACCACACAGCCUUGGCUGUCUUGGAACUCACUCUGUAGACCAGUCUGGCCUCGAAUUCACAGAGAUCUGUCUGCCUCUUCCUCCUGAGUGCUGGGAUCAAAAGUAUAUGCCAUCUCUCUCUCAGUAUUUAAAAAACAAACAACAACAACAAAAACCCCACUCUAGAGCCUGAACCUAAACACACCCCAGAGCACAGUAAUUCCAUGUGGGUGUCCCCAGGGAAAAUGAGUGUGUGUGAGCUCAGCAAAAGAUGGGACAGAAAUGUUCAUGGCAGCCCUGUCCACUGUGAGGGUCCCAUGGGAGAUGCCAUUCAUAUGUCAUCAGAGGAUAAACAAACACACAUCUAAGCAGAGCGAUACUGUGUAAGAUAAGAGAGUGAAUGGCAAACACAUCUGUCAGGGCUCAGACUAUGAUGCCCCACAUACGGUAGCUUGGCAGUUGAGAAAGGCCCUUUCCUUCUACUUUCUGAGAGACAGCUGACCACAAGAGAUUCCUCUGAUCCUGCUGGCCUGAAAGUAGGUCAUGAAGC